CGUAGGUGGCAAGCGUUGUCCGGAUUUACUGGGCGUAAAGGGCGUGCAGGCGGUUUGCUAAGUCUAGGGUGAAAGCUCCCGGCUUAACUGGGAGAGGUCCUUGGAUACUGGCAGACUUGAGGAGGGUAGAGGAGAGUGGAAUUCCCGGUGUAGUGGUGAUAUGCGUAGAUAUCGGGAGGAACACCAGUGGCGAAGGCGGCUCUCUGGGCCCUACCUGACGCUGAGACGCGAAAGCGUGGGGAGCGAACCGGAUUAGAUACCCGGGUAGUCCACGCCGUAAACUAUGGACACUAGGUGUGGGGGGUAUCGACCCCUCCGUGCCGAAGCUAACGCAAUAAGUGUCCCGCCUGGGGAGUACGGCCGCAAGGCUA
rnacentral:rRNA from 1 species